GUUAAGCGACUAAGCGUACACGGUGGAUGCCCUGGCAGUCAGAGGCGAUGAAGGACGUGCUAAUCUGCGAUAAGCGUCGGUAAGGUGAUAUGAACCGUUAUAACCGGCGAUUUCCGAAUGGGGAAACCCAGUGUGUUUCGACACACUAUCAUUAACUGAAUCCAUAGGUUAAUGAGGCGAACCGGGGGAACUGAAACAUCUAAGUACCCCGAGGAAAAGAAAUCAACCGAGAUUCCCCCAGUAGCGGCGAGCGAACGGGGAGGAGCCCAGAGUCUGAAUCAGUGUGUGUGUUAGUGGAAGCGUCUGGAAAGGCGCGCGAUACAGGGUGACAGCCCCGUACACAAAAAUGCACAU
rnacentral:rRNA from 1 species